rnacentral:lncRNA from 1 species
CGUCAAGUUGGGACUCAGGAUAGAGGGACUGAAUCACACAGUAACUAUACCUAGAGGUUCAUAUUUUUUUAUUCUAUUGGAUUGUCAUUAUAUGCUACUAGGCAUCACUGAUGGAUUGUAAGAACUCACUAAGAUUAUUUUUGGAUCAACGAUCCUUAUUGGGGUGAGCUAGAAUUAUUUUGGUCCAUUGAAAAGAGUUUUGAUGGUACUAUGAUGGAGAU